rnacentral:ribozyme from 2 species
CGCAGAGUGACGGCCCACCAGGGCCGGUAAUGCUGGCAGGCAGACGGUUACAACCACCGA